CCUACGGGGGGCAGCAGUGGGGGAUAUUGCACAAUGGGGGGAACCCUGAUGCAGCGACGCCGCGUGGGUGAAGAAGGGCCUCGGCGCGUAAAGCCCUGUCAGCAGGGAAGAAAAUGACGGUACCUGAAGAAGAAGCCCCGGCUAACGACGUGCCAGCAGCCGCGGUAAUACGAAGGGGGCAAGCGUGAGCCGGAUUGCCGGGGUGGCAAGGGGGCGCAGACGGGGGGGCAAGCCAGGAGGGAAAGCCCGGGGCGCAACCCCGGGACUGCUCUUGGAACUGCGUGGCUGGAGUGCAGGAGGGGCAGGCGGACUUCCUGGUGUAGCGGUGAAAUGCGUAGAUAUCAGGCGGAACACCGGUGGCGAAGGCGGCCUGCUGGACUGCAACUGACGUUGAGGCCCGAAAGCGUGGGGAGCAAACAGGAUUAGAUACCCUAGUAGUC
rnacentral:rRNA from 1 species